rnacentral:rRNA from 1 species
GUGGGGAAUCUUAGACAAUGGGGGAAACCCUGAUCUAGCCAUGCCGCGUGAGCGAUGAAGGCCUUAGGGUUGUAAAGCUCUUUCAGCUGGGAAGAUAAUGACUGUACCAGCAGAAGAAGCCCCGGCUAACUCCGUGCCAGCAGCCGCGGUAAUACGGAGGGGGCUAGCGUUGUUCGGAAUUACUGGGCGUAAAGCGCACGUAGGCGGACCGGAAAGUCAGAGGUGAAAUCCCAGGGCUCAACCUUGGAACUGCCUUGGAAACGCCUGGUCUGGAGGUCGAGAGAGGUGAGUGGAAUUCCGAGUGUAGAGGUGAAAUUCGUAGAUAUUCGGAGGAACACCAGUGGCGAAGGCGGCUCACUGGCUCGAUACUGACGCUGAGGUGCGAAAGCGUGGGGAGCAAACAGGAUUAGAAACCCUAGUAGUCC